rnacentral:rRNA from 1 species
GACGAACGCUGGCGGCGUGCUUAACACAUGCAAGUCGAACGGAAAGGCCCUGCUUUUGUUGGUUGCUCGAGUGGCGAACGGGUGAGUAACACGUGAGUAACCUGCCCUUGACUUUGGGAUAACUUCAGGAAACUGGGGCUCAUACCGGAUAGGAGCUCCUGCUGCAUGGUGGGGGUUGGAAAGUUUCGGCGGUUGGGGAUGGACUCGCGGCUUAUCAGCUUGUUGGUGGGGUAGUGGCUUACCAAGGCUUUGACGGGUAGCCGGCCUGAGAGGGUGACCGGCGACAUUGGGACUGAGAGACGGCCCAGACUCCUACGGGAGGCAGAAGUGGGGAAUAUUGCACAAUAGGCGGAAGCCUGAUGCAGCAACGCCGCGUGCGGGAUGACGGCCUUCGGGUUGUAAACCGAUUUCGACUGUGACGAAGCGUGAGUGACGGUAAUGGGUAAAGAAGCACCGGCUAACUACGUG